AGUUAUGGCCAACAGAGGGCAACAUUUAUCCAUAAAAUACGAUAAAACCUCACUGAAUCAAAAUGAAUUGGGUGACAUUGGACAUUUUUUAGAUAUCGUAUGUGAUCAGUAACAAUGCAUUCAUUUCCCGGAGUGGUCGCUCUGUGCUUUUGUAGUUGACGUAAUAAUAUACGAUGGAAUAUAGAAGACUAUGACGUAAACGAACUAAAAAAAAAGGUUCAGUGUGCUACUUUUGCCUCAGUCGAGUUGAUGUUUUGCAUAGGACAGUCAUCCUCAUGUUCAAAUAAAUCGCUUUGAGUGGACAAAGAAGACAUUCUGUGUCCAGUCUGAAGGGUGCCUGAAAGCACAAUGGAUAGAAAUCAUAAACCGUUGAGAAAAAUGAUUCUAAAAGCUGGGACCCUCCAAGCUAGUGCUGGAGAGCAGGUCCCCCAGACAGACAUCACUGACCAUGAUGGACUAAGGCUGCCAGCCCUGGUA